rnacentral:lncRNA from 1 species
UGAAUCAUCUGAUAACCAGGUGACUGUGGUAAGAAUAUUGACAGCUAUGAGAAUACCAGGGUGUUUAUGACCUGUCCCUGGCUCCACACAGCUCUUGUCAAUUUCUUCUAUUUGUCACUCUGAACUGUCAUUUAUAGUGAUAAGAAAAGAACAGAAGGCUCAGUAGAGGCGAACACCGAGGGAUGUUAAAGACAUCUGAGGACUCCCUGUUUUGCAUUUUGAGGACUAUUUUGAUCUCUGCCAGUUCAAAGUGGCCAAGAGCAGCAAAUCCACCUAUUCUUCUUGAGAGGAAAACGUGUCAGUGACCUCUCUGUGGAGUUCUACAAGAAGGUGGGACAAGUGGAGGGUUCCACAAAUAAAAAGCAUGCACCUGUAGAAUUCAUAUGCAUGCAACUGCAUCCAGAAUGGAAAUGACAGAACUCAUCUGAACCCCACAGUCCAUAAUAGAUCAACCUCAGAGACCUCUGCCAAGGGGCUUAGCUUUGGGAACAACUUCUUUCCUGGAAGAGAAAGAAGAUAUAGAUAUCUAAAGUCACUGCUGGCUACAAAGAUGGCCGGAGCAGAGUGAAUCAAAAUGAGACCAUCUUCCCCAAUAAAGCUUGUUAUUUGCUAGGUUUGGUGAAGGGACAAUUUGUAAUCAAAUUGUA